AUACGGAGGAUGCGAGCGUUAUCCGGAUUUAUUGGGUUUAAAGGGUGCGCAGGCGGGCGAUUAAGUCAGCGGUGAAAGGCUCGGGCUCAACCGGAGCAGUGCCGUUGAUACUGGUUGUCUUGAAUGCGGUCAAGGCCGGCGGAAUGUGGCGUGUAGCGGUGAAAUGCAUAGAUAUGCCACAGAACACCGAUAGCGAAGGCAGCUGGCCGGGCCUGCAUUGACGCUGAGGCACGAAAGCGUGGGGAUCGAACAGGAUUAGAUACCCUGGUAGUCCACGCUGUAAACGAUGGACACUCGUUGUCGGCGACAGACAGUCGGCGGCCAAGCGAAAGUGAUAAGUGUCCCACCUGGGGAGUACGGUCGCAAGGCUGAAACUCA
rnacentral:rRNA from 1 species